AAAUAUUUCAAAAUAUACUUGCCCGAGGUGCAACAUACACUACUGCGGUUCAGAAUGUUAUAAAUCAAAGGAACAUAGCACUUGUUCUGAACAGUUUUACCAACAAUGUGUUUACGAUGAAUUAAACUACCGUAAAAAAUGUGCAAACCCUGACUUGAGAGCGAAAACAUAUGAUUUACUGCAAAGAUUUAAGCAAGAAACAUCUGAAGAAGAAAUACCUUUUAUUGACACAAAUGACCUUCACGAGCGUAUCGAAGGAGUUGAUCUCG